rnacentral:rRNA from 1 species
CGUAGGGACCGAGCGUUGUCCGGAUUCAUUGGGCGUAAAGAGCUCGUAGGCGGCUGUUCAAGUCGAACGUGAAAACUCGGAGCUCAACUCCGAGCCUGCGUUCGAUACUGGAUGGCUAGAGUCUGGUAGGGGGAUCUGGAAUUCCUGGUGUAGCGGUGGAAUGCGCAGAUAUCAGGAGGAACACCGGUGGCGAAGGCGGGAUCCUGGGCCAGUACUGACGCUGAGGAGCGAAAGCGUGGGGAGCAAACAGGAUUAGAUACCCUGGUAGUCCACGCCGUAAACGAUGGGCGCUAGGUGUGGGAGGUCAUCGACUCCUUCCGUGCCGCAGCUAACGCAUUAAGCGCCCCGCCUGGGGAGUACGGCCGCAAGGCUA